rnacentral:rRNA from 1 species
UGGGGAAUAUUGCACAAUGGGCGAAAGCCUGAUGCAGCAACGCCGCGUGAGGGACGACGGCCUUCGGUUGUAACCUCUUUAGCAAGGAAGAAGCGAAAGUGACGGUACUUGCAGAAAAAGCGCCGGCUAACUACGUGCCAGCAGCCGCGGUAAUACGUAGGGCGCAAGCGUUAUCCGGAAUUAUUGGGCGUAAAGAGCUCGUAGGCGGUUUGUCGCGUCUGCUGUGAAAACCCGAGGCUCAACCUCGGGCCUGCAGUGGGUACGGGCAGACUAGAGUGCGGUAGGGGAGAUUGGAACUCCUGGUGUAGCGGUGGAAUGCGCAGAUAUCAGGAAGAACACCGAUGGCGAAGGCAGAUCUCUGGGCCGUAACUGACGCUGAGGAGCGAAAGGGUGGGGAGCAAAACAGGCUUAGAUACCCUGGUAGUCCACCCGUAAACGUUGGGAACUAGUUGUGGGGUCCAUUCCACGGAUUCCGUGACGCAGCUAACGCAUUAAGUUCCCCGCCUGGGGAGUACGGCCGCAAGGCUAAAACUCAAAUGAAUUGACGGGGUCAUAGCUGUUUCCU